rnacentral:rRNA from 1 species
CGCUGGCGGCACGCCUUAUACAUGCAAGUCGAACGAAGUAGCAAUACUUAGUGGCAGACGGGUGAGUAACAUGUAGGUAUCUGCCCUUUGGCCUGGAAUAACACGAGGAAACUUGUGCUAAUACCGGAUAAGUCUUUACGGAGAAAGCUUUAUGCACCAUUGGAUGAGCCUGCACUUGAUUAGUUUGUUGGUGGGGUAAUGGCCUACCAAGACUAUGAUCAAUAGCUGAUUUGAGAGGAUGAUCAGCCACAUUGGAACUGAGACACGGUCCAAACUCCUACGGGAGGCAGCAGUAAGGAAUCUUGCACAAUGGAGGAAACUCUGAUGCAGCGAUGCCGCGUGAGUGAAGAAGGCCUUUGGGUUGUAAAGCUCUUUCGUCGGGGAAGAAAAUGACUGUACCCGAAUAAGAAGGUCCGGCUAACUUCGUGCCAGCAGCCGCGGUAAUACGAAGGGACCUAGCGUAGUUCGGAAUUACUGGGCUUAAAGAGUUCGUAGGUGGUUAAAAAAGUUGGUGGUGAAAUCCCAGAGCUUAACUCUGGAACUGCCAUCAAAACUUUUUAGCUAGAGUAUGAUAGAGGAAAGCAGAAUUUCUAGUGUAGAGGUGAAAUUCGUAGAUAUUAGAAAGAAUACCGAUUGCGAAGGCAGCUUUCUGGAUCAUUACUGACACUGAGGAACGAAAGCAUGGGUAGCGAAGAGGAUUAGAUACCCUCGUAGUCCAUGCCGUAAACGAUGUGUGUUAGACGUUGGAAAUUUAUUUUCAGUGUCGCAGCGAAAGCAAUAAACACACCGCCUGGGGAGUACGACC